UACUCUUAUCAGGAGACCUUCAUCUUCAAGU
rnacentral:piRNA from 2 species